UGGGAUUUAGCUCAGCGGCAUAAGCACCUGCCUUGCAAGCAGGCAGUGGGUUCGAUCCCCGGUACCAA
rnacentral:tRNA from 1 species